rnacentral:rRNA from 2 species
UGGGGGAUAGUGAGGGGAUAAAUUUUCUUAAGGAACUCGGCAAAAUCCCAAUGGCCCACCAGGGCAUAUUGGAACACGGGCCUCGACUGUUUACCAAAAACAUAGCCCUCGGCUAAUAUGAAAAUAGAUGUAUAGAGGGUGAUGCCUGCCCAAUGGUUGUAUCUAAAAGCGGUUGAUAAAAGUCGACCUCGUAAGGACAAUUGAAUGGCCGCGGUAACACUGACCGUGAUAAUGUAGCGUAAUCAAUAGCCAAUUAAUUGUUGGCCAGUAUGAAUGGCGCCACGAAGGCCCCACUGUCUUAAGGAAAUUCCCAGUGAAAUUGAAUUCGUAGUGAAGAUGCUACGUGCAAUUUGUUAGACGAAAAGACCCCGUUGAGCUUUACUGGAGCACUUACAUGGCCCUGGCCUUCCCAUGCUUGGGAAUCGGCCGAAUUUAAAUGGGCGGCUUAGAUUAUGUGGCAGCCCCCCGCUGGGGCAAAUGAAACCCCACUCCCCCAUGUCAAAGGGGCUAACCCCCCCCCUUGGGGGGACAGUGUAAGUAGGACAGUUUGGUUGGGGCGACCGCCUUUUAAAGAGUAACGAAGGUGCGCUUAAGGUGCGCAAUUAAUGACUGAAGCCUGACUGCGAGGGGGACACCCCGAGCAGACACCCCAAAGCCCGCCCGAAGGGCGGCGGUGGGGUGGGCCAUAGUGACCCGUUAAUUUAGAGUGGAAUAGUUAACGAUCAACGAAUAAAAG